rnacentral:lncRNA from 1 species
UUUGAAUGAUGUUUAUCGAAAGUCCCAAUUUGAAUCUCUUUUGCGUUCAGCCUAGCAUUGAGGAAUACAUGGCUAUAGCUGGCAUUCUUGUAGGUUGGCUGUUCAAAGGCCUUGUUUAGAUGAAAACCAAGAAACACAUAUCCUACAAGAAGAAAAAGUAAAAGUGCACCGUCUGUUUCAAAAGCAGUAGUUUCCUGCUAGAAGGCAAAUUUGAGUACAACUUGGUAUUGGUCACUCAAGUUGUUCUCCAGUUGGCCCUUACAAAUUCAUGCCUUGAUUCUUGGGCAAAAAGGCUAAUAAUAAAAGAGUAGAUGAAAACUAAAAAUGCCUCUUCUUUCAAACCUGCACAAAAUAUUGAGAGCAUGGAGCAUCAGAAAUGUUAGUGUCAGCAGUUAUAAAGGCAAGGAGGGGUGGUACCAUUGUACUGGCAAGCAUGAGAAAUGGUGCCAGAAGUACAGACAGCUAUGCAGGACCUAGAAUAUUCAGAAGGCAGGGAACAAGAGACAGGCUGCUUUGAGACAGGCCCUGGAUGACGGCCAACACUGGCAACAAAGCCUUCUGUGUGCUUUGGCUUUACAGUUCAAAUUUCUUUUUUGAAGAAUAGAGUGAUGGUCAUCAGAAUUAGCUGAGGCAGAAGAGGAGGCAAAAUGGUAAUCUGGAAGGUUGGUUUAUGGCAAAUUCAUUAGGCACUCCUUGGGAAAUCUCAACUGUGUGGUAGAAUUUGAAGAAAACUAAUAUUCACUGGUAAAGUCUCUUUCAUGUGCGUCUGUGUGAAGAGACCACCAAACAGGCUUUGUGUGAGCAACAUGGCUGUUUAUUUCACCUGGGUGCAGGUGGGCUGAGGCCGAAGAGAGUCAGCAAAGGGAGACAAGGGUGGGGCCAUUUUAUAGGAUUUGGGUAAGUAAAGGAAAAUUACAGUCAAAGGGGGUUUGUUCUCUGGCAGGUAGGAGUGGGUUGUGAUUCUUUAGUUACUUCAGGCCCUCUGGGCGUAUAUGUGCAGGUCACAGGGGAUGUGAUGGCUUGGCUUGGGCUCAGAGGCCUGACAUUCCUGCCUUCUUAAUAAGAAAAAUAAAACAAAAUAGUGUUGAAGUGUUGGGGCGGCGAAAAUUUUUGGGGGGUGGUAUGGAGAGAGAGUGGACGAUGUUCCUCAGGCCUGCUUCAAGAGGGAUUAGGGGCGGCGUGGGAACCUAGAGUGGGAGAGAUUAAGCUGAAAGGAGAUCUUGUGGUAAGGGGUGAUAUUGUGGGGUUGUUAGAAGAAACAUUUGUUGUAUAGAAUGAUUGGUGAUGGCCUGGAUAUGGUUUUGUAUGAACUGAAAAACUAAAUGGAAUAAGAAGGAGAAAAACAGGUAUAAAAGGUCUAAGAAUUGGGAGGACCUAGGACAUCUGAUUAGAGAGUGCCUAAGGAGAUUCAGCAUAGUCCUGCCAGCAAAGAUUAUUUAUUUACUUCAAGAGUUAAGAGUGGCGGUUUGGGGAUAGCACGAGGAGAUAUCAGCUGUGAUGGCUUGGAUAAACAGUGUAAACUGGCAGUGUAAAGAAGAGCAGGGCAUGUAUGAGUAGUUGAGAAUGGAGAAUAGGAGUAUGACUAGACAGAAAACAGUAGGGAUGACAAGCUUUUAUUGGGGCACAGUCUAAGUUGGUCCGGUGUCUGGAAUGAGACUGGGGCCUAAUAAAAAGGAGCAUCUAUACAGGAGCUUAAAUGGGCUGUACCUUGUAGCAUUCCGAGGACAGGCCUGAAUUCUGAGAAGGGAAAGUGAUAAAAGUAUUGUCCAGUCCUUUUUGAUGGCUGAGCUUGGUGAGGUGUGUUUUUAAAAGACCUUCAGUCCAUUCUACCUUUCUUGAAGAUGGAGGACUGUAAGGGAUAUAAAGGUUUCACUGAAUACUAAGAGCCUGAAAAACUGCUUGGCUGAUUUGACUAAUAAAGGCUCAUCUGUUAUCAGACUGUAUUGAGGUGGGAAGGCUAAACUGAGGAAUUAUGUCUGACAGAAUGGAAGAAAUGACUGCGGAGGCCUUCUCAGACCCUGUAGGAAAGGCCUUUACUUAUUCAGUGAAAGUGUCUAUUUAGACUAAGAGGUAUUUUAGUUUCCUGACUCAGGCAUGUUGAGUAAAGCUAGUUUGCCAGUCCUGGGUGGGGGCAAAUCCUCGAGCUUGAUGUGUAGGUUUGCUGGUAUGUGGCGACUAGGCCUGGUGGAACUGCCAUCAAUAAAUCAAGCGUGAUCAGGGUGAGGAACAGGAAAGAAGGAAAUUUGGGGAAAUGGGGUUAAUGUCAGGUGGAUCAGAGAGAUACAGUCAUGGGGGUCAGGUGUGGUAUCAGGAAUAAUGUGGGAGGCCGGAUUCAAGUAUGGGCCAGGAACAAUGAUAAUUGUGGGAGACUCAACAGAGUGAGUAUAGCUGAAGGAGCUGGGAAGCAGAAAGUAUAUGCGUCAGGUAUGAGGAAGAAAAUAGAUUUUGGAAGUUAUGAGAACUGUAGAGAGUGAGUUGAGCAUAGUUUGUGAUUUUGAGGGCCUCUAAAAGUAUUAAUGCAGUGGCAGCUGCCGCACGCAGACAUACGGGCUAGGCUAAAACAGUAAGGUCAAGUUGUUUGGACAGAAGGCUACAGGGUGUGGUCCUGGCUCUUGUGUAAGAAUUCUGACCACCCUAACCAUGCCUAGGGAAUUGUAAGGAGAGUUUAUAGGCUUUAAAAGGCCAUGCUGUAGCAGGCGAGUGAUAACAGGCUUUAAUCUUUUUAAAGUGUGCUGCGGGAUGGGAUUUUGGCAUUGAGUGGGGUAAGGGUGAUUAGGUUUUAAUGAGAUGGUAAGGGGUGCGUGAUCGGUCGCCAAGGAGGGAGUAGAGGUAUCUUAUACUUGUGGGUUAAGGUAGGGGGAUACAAGAGGAGGACGCAAAGGAGGCUUUGGAUUGGGAAGAAGGGCGGCAAUGAGAUAUAGCUGUAGUCCAGGAUAGUCAGGGAAGCAGAUAAUUUAGUUAAAGUGUCUCAGCCUAAUAAGGGAACUGGGCAGGUGGGGAUAACUACACUGUGAGAGUUACUGGAAGCUCGGCGUCCGUGAUGGUCUAGGGGGCUUCUGAGGCGAUCGGGCAGUGUCAGUCUUCAGCUGCUAAGCCGAGAAGAUCUGGGAAGGAGUCAGUCAGACAGCCUUGGGCCAGAGUUCCAGGGGAUCUGGGAGUGGCUGCCAGGUGAGUUGAACAGUCGAUUUUCAGUGGGGUCCCACACAGAUGGGACGUGGCUUAGGAGGAAUCCCGGGCUGUGGGCAUUCCUUGGCCCAGUGGCCAGAUUUCCGGCACGUGUAGCAAGCUCCUGUUGGAGGAGGUUCUGGAGGAACGCCUGGCCGCUGUGGUUCAGGCGUUUGGAAGUUCUUGGAGUUUUAUUUAAUGUCGGGAGCAGAUUGGGUAAUGUAUUUUGAGAAUAAGACGGCCUUUUGACCUUUUAGUGUCUAGGGCUGUAAAGUGUCUCAGAGUUGCUGCCAAACAAGUCAUGAACUGGGCUGGAUUUUUAUAUUUGAUGAAAAAGAGCCUAAACGCUAUCUGAUUUGGGACAAAGAAAAAGGAGCAUUAACCUUGACUAUGCCUUUAGCUCCAGCCACCUUUUCAAGAGUAAAUUGCUGGGCAGGUGGGGGAGGGCUAGUCACGGAAUGAAACUGUAAGCCGGACCAGGUGUGAGGAGGGGAGGUGAUAAAAAGAUUAUAGGGUGGAGGAGCAGAGGCUGAGGAAGAAUUGGGACCUAGCUCGGCCUGGCGAGGAACAACCUGGGGAGGAAGGGAGAGGUCAGAUGGGUCUGUAGAAAAGGAAGAUUAGAAAGACUCAGCGACGCUUGGGGUUGGUACUGAGGGGACAGGUGGGAGGGAAAGAAGGAAGAUUUGGGACGAGUUGCACUGGUCACAGAGACUAGGAAGGGACUAAUGUGGAAAAGAAUGCCUGGACGUCAGGCACCUCAGACCGUUUGCCUAUUUUACAACAAGAAUUAUUUAGAAGAAGGAGGAAUGGAAGGUGGAAGCUUACCCAUAGUGAAGGAGGCAAGCCCAGAGAAAAGAGUAGAGACACGGAGAAGUGUUGGGGGGUUCUUGUCCUCCAGAAAAGCGGAGAAGGGGUUGGGGCACGGAAAUAAGGGAUUGGGGCACAGAGAUAAGAGGUCAGGGUGUGGAAAUAAGGGAUUGGGGCACAGAGAUAAGAGGUUGGGGUGCGGAAAUAAGCGAAUGCGGGCUUCUUGCCCCCUAGGAAAGCGGGACUUGCCGCCAAGGGUGAAGGAGAAGGGGUUGAGGGGUACUUGCCCCUGCCCCAGGAAAGCGGGACUUGCCGCUAAGAGUGAAGGGGAAGUGGUUGAGGGGUACUUUCCCCUGCCCCAGGAAAGCGAGACUUGCCACUAAGGGUGAAGGCCGUGACUGGCGCCGGAGUUUUGGGUUCAUGGAUAAAACAUGUCUCUUUUGUCUCUACCAGAAAAUGAAAGGAAUUGAAAUUAAGAGAAGGGAGAGAUUGAAGUGUGGCGCCAAGAUUGAAAGGAGAAAGAGGUUAAGGGAUAGUGAGGGAGGUUGGAGAAGAGAGUAAAAAGAGGCCGCUUACCAGAUUUGAAAUUGGUGAGAUGUUUCUUGAGCUGGUCGGUCUGAGGACCUGAGGUCGUAGGUGGAUGUUUCUCACGGAGCAAAGAGCAGGAGGACAGGGGAUUGAUCUCCUAAGGGAGGUCCCCCGAUCCAAGUCACGGCACCAAAUUUCAUGUGCGUCCGUGU